rnacentral:ncRNA from 1 species
GAGAUAGAGGUUGCGUUUUUUAUCAGUACUCAUCCGGAUGUUCAGGAACAGUCGAAGGAUGAUGAAAGGAAAAGACGCCGAAAGGGAGUAUUUCCUGACAAUAUUUCCUUGGGCAUGCAGUUAAGAACUGUAUGACUGUCAUCGGUUUCGAUGGGGGGCUAUCAU